rfam:Myotis lucifugus cont2.2645, whole genome shotgun sequence.
AAUCUAGGAGGCAGGUGCUCACGUGUCCUCUUCCAGGCUUGGAAAAUACAGGGAGGAGGACAUGGUGGCAACUGUCACCAUGAUU